CUGAUUGGAUCCCCUCCAGUCAGGUUGUCCUGUAGUUUGAUCCGGCGACCCCCUGCUGUUCACCGGUUGCGAAGGUGGCCAGGAUGAAGACCCCUUCACGGGCUGGACCAUCCCAGACCAUUAAAGCUGCCUGUCACUCUCCUCGCCCAGUUAAGACCGUCGGGACACCAGUUCCCUCAUCGUCCUGCUGGCCCUGGAUUAUCGAUGACGGACUUGCCACCUCUCAUUCCCCUUCUAAAGAGGUGCCGCUUAGUGCUAGUAUUAGGGCUAGUCAUAGUCAGAGUGACAUGAGGUACAGGAAGUUCUCCAGGAACCACCAGU